AACGCAAAUUGCACUUCUUGGUAUUCCGAGAAGUAUACUUGCUUGAGGGUUGGUCUACAAAAAAUCGUAAAUUUUUUUACGGAUCUGGGUUUUCCGAGUUUUCCGACUUCGGUUGCCUAAAAUUUAUCUUAACAAUUUGAGGUAUUAAUUAGAAAUGUUCUAUCUUACAUAUUGUAAGUUCAUUGGUAAUUAUACCAAUUGUUACGUCGCGUUAUUCGCCUAGUAUUUCUUGACUAGGUGAAAUAACACAAUUUUUUAAUCCUACCUCAAGUCAAGUAAGAAUACCCGCUGAACUUAA
rnacentral:misc_RNA from 1 species